AUUGAACGCUGGCGGCAGGCCUAACACAUGCAAGUCGAACGGUAACAGGAAGCAGCUUGCUGCUUCGCUGACGAGUGGCGGACGGGUGAGUAAUGUCUGGGAAGCUGCCUGAUGGAGGGGGAUAACUACUGGAAACGGUAGCUAAUACCGCAUAAUGUCGCAAGACCAAAGAGGGGGACCUUCGGGCCUCUUGCCAUCGGAUGUGCCCAGAUGGGAUUAGCUUGUUGGUGGGGUAACGGCUCACCAAGGCGACGAUCCCUAGCUGGUCUGAGAGGAUGACCAGCCACACUGGGACUGAGACACGGUCCAGACUCCUACGGGAGGCAGCAGUGGGGAAUAUUGCACGAUGGGCGCAAGCCUGAUGCAGCCAUGCCGCGUGUAUGAAGAAGGCCUUCGGGUUGUAAAGUACUUUCAGCGGGGAGGAAGGGAGUAAAGUUAAUACCUUUGCUCAUUGACGUUACCCGCAGAAGAAGCACCGGCUAACUCCGU
rnacentral:rRNA from 1 species